AGGAUCGCCCUCCACUAGUACAAUGUUCCUUCGGUUUGGGCACUCACUAGCUUUGUGACCCCAACCUUGACAUUUAAAACAAACGAUACCCUUAGGAUUAGGAGUGGAAGAAUUAGUACCCUCAAGUCAUGGAUACCUUUGGAUUGUUUUAUCAAAUAGUAACUUCUCUAUGGGAUUGUAGGACCUGUCCCACCUGAAGGUCUUCUUAGCAUGAUUGUUCCUUUCAACUUCAAUGGUCGCUUCUACAAGGUCCUCAAUUCGGUCAAACUUAUGGACAACUAAUUGAGAAACAACUUCAUAGCACAAUCCACCCCUGAACCGAGCUAAGUAAUGAUUUGGAGGUUCGACUAUGUCAAGAUGUAGGAUCAAGUUUUGAAACUCAUCAUAAUACUUCUCCACACUUCUGUCUCCUUGCCUCAAGUUGUAGAGCUUUGUUAGUUGCUCUUGUUUGUACCUUUACGUGACAUAUCUCUCCCUCAUAAGAGCUUUCAAUUCAUCCCAAUUAGGAAGGUCAAGAUUGUCAUUCCUUGCCCGUUGCAACCACUUUGUCUCCCACUAAGUAGAUGCAUAACCUUCAAAUUGAGCAAUGGCAUGUGCGACUUUCUUUGGGGAAGUUAACUCGUUGAGUUAGAAAAUUCGAUUACAUUGUAACUCCCAAUCAAGAUAGAGAGAUGGAUAACUAGUCCCUUUGAAAGAAGAAAGGGUGAUCUUAAUGGAAUUUAGGCCCGUGUAUCUACCCACAUUGCCUCCUUGUUCCACUAAACCUUCUUGAACAUGAGGUCGGUGUCCCAAGUUGCCCCUACCAUGAGGAGCCGGUCCAACUCUUCCCUCUCGACCUCUAUGUCCCCCGCCAUAAGGUCUUCUUCUAUUGCGCACAAAUUCCGCAAAGAGAGUUGUUUCAUCUAACCCCUCACCUCCAUAAAUACCCUCACCUUCCACAUCAUCAACUUGGAUUGGUUCGUUUUGGUUUAGUGGUGCUCUCGGCAUAUCAAGGAGGUCUCAGAUUUGGGAAGCUUCUUGAUGGACUUGACUUCAAUUUUUUGGAUAAGUAGGGACUUAGUAGAUGGGUUCAUGGGUUGGUUUGGGUGGAUUGAGCAACUGGGGAAAUAUAUCCGGGGUGGUAGCAUGUCCACUAAUCGAGGCGUGGUAGUGUUUCGGACUUGAAUGGUUGGAAUCUAAACGAACUUCCAAUGUAUCCAUUUUCCUUAGAAAGGAACCCUCCAUCCCAUCCAUCUUUUCCUCCAUCAUCUCCAUUCGACCACUAAGAUCAUGUUUCACGCUUAUUAUGGCUGCCAACAAAGUAUCCAUGGUUACCUCUCUCGAGGCUUUUGGACUACCUUCACCCGAAGCCAUCGUACCUAAUAAGAAAUACUAAACAAAACACAAACAAUAACAAGUUAAGGUUAGCAAAAACCACCCUCACUAACUCUUAAGCUCACACUUUUCAAGUAUCACUCAAUUGGUCUCACAAGUGUUGGUACACCAUUUUUACUCUAAUGAAGUUACUUGGUCCCACUUGCGGCUUAAGGUCGAAAUGGAUUUUUGUUUGCAAAGACUCAAAAUAAAUUUGUGCGUACUUGAGUCAAAAGGCUAUAACGAGUUUUCGAAAAUAUAAAAGCACACAAAGAAACGUAGACAUGAAUAAACGGACCCAAAACUAAUUUAGAACCUAGUAGACAAUUACUAGUUUGUUAAUUAGCAAUAGAAUCAACAAAAUGCAACUAAGAAAUAAAGAUUAGAAACUAAGAAAUCAAAUAACUUGAGCUUACUUAUGUUGCGUGAAUAGUAAAACAUGAUGAUUUGGCAGCCACGUAAUUGGUCGCGAUCCCACAUAAUUUUUUUUUUAAUCACCAAUUUGAAGCUUUUGUCUUGAUACAAUUUGGAAUGGAUGAGUUUGUCUUUUGGUGGAAAAAUUCACGUCUUAGAAACUUUUUCAAAUUCCAACUCAAAAAGUGAGACUUGACUUUACUAUUCCCACAAAACAAGGUCCUUGAAAUAUGAAAAAGUGGUUGACAAGUCUUUGAAGUGAUGUGUUCAAGUCUCUUUACCAACAACUUUUCAACUUUAUCUUACACCUUUUUUGAAUCUAUGUUAUACUUUAUAUUGAUUAAGAGAUGUCAAGAUGUGAAGAACAACAAGAUCUCAACAACAACACCAACAUUCACCUCCAAGUCCACAACAAUUGCAACACACGACCAAGAUCAACAAUAUUAACAUACUGCCAACUUCCAAUUUACAUCAACAAGGUUAAUAACACAAGCUCAAACCUUUAGAUCUAGACACUUUAGUGUUGGUGAGAAAGAAACUAACACUAGAAACAAUUCAAACAAACAAAAGACUAUAAGAUCUAGCCACAAAGAAAUAUGUCUCGGCCAAGAACAAGAACAACUUCUACAUUUUCCCUUUUUUUGUAUUUUUAAGCUAGCUAGCCCAAGAUUGAUCUUAUGAAAACAAAAUCAAGUCAUGCUCUGAUACCAAAUGAUACAAGAUCGACAAGGAAGAUACUAACACACACCAAAAUAAUCCAUGAUUUGAAGAACCGAGGACCCCUUUUGGUGACCCCUCUCGGAUUCACUACACAAUAACAAUACAAGCAUGAUAACAACAAGAUUCUAAGAUGUUCAAAACCUAUAAUCAGCGAGCCACAAACUAAGAUUACAACACAAUAACAAGAACAAAAAUGACAUAACAAGGUCUUAGGUUUAGACACCCAAAAUCAAGUAUGAACACAACAACAAUAAUAAGAUAGAAUGAUGGAUAACUUGACACACAAUGCACAAACACUAUGAACCAAAGUGUAUAUUGAACACUAAGACCUAAAAAUUCAUACAAAUAACAUCAAGUUCUUACGAUGACCUCAAGGGAAUGGAAUCCCCAAGCAACCAAUGUUUCAAAACAAGCAACCAAUAUAAGUGAUUCCACACUUGUCACAAGUGAUAACCACACUUGUAUGAACACUCUCAAAAAGCUCUCAAAAUAUCAUCUAAGUUAUGAGAAAAUGACCUAAUAUAUUCUAUUUAUAGCCUAUGUUACAGCUCAUUAUAAAAUGACUAAAAUGCCCUUAAUAAGCUAACACUUUAAAGCUUGUUCCAUUAGUUGGCCAAUUAUUCGAGCACGAGUUCUUUACGUAUUGAUCCACAAUCACGAUCGUACUCGUAUCAAUAAUCACAGAAUAUCUCUGUUAUGCCACCUCAUGUUAGGGAGAUGUCAGGUACGCUGGAAAGAAUAGGAAGAAAGAAGAAGGUGAAACCAAAAAGAAAACUGGAAAGUUGUCCAAAAGGGGGAUUGAGAUUUCAUAUGGCACUUGUCAUAGCAAGGGUCACAACAAAAGAAGAGGUCCAAUAGGUGCACCUGCUGCUGGCACUAAUGCAAAUCCUGGCCCAAGUUCAUCUGCUGGUGCAGACCCAAGUGCAGGUCCAAGUAUAGUCCCAAGUGCAACACCUACUAUUGGAAAAAGGAGAGGUUCAAUUGGAAGAGAAAGGGAUAGACCACCAAAGAAUUCUACAAAAAAGUGUGCUGGCAGACCAAGAGUGGUGGGAAUGAGAUUAUUUCACAACAAAGUGGAUGCACAAUUCUUAAUCCGAAAAUGCCAAGUGAGAGAUUCAAAACUGUCAAGUCUUCAGUAUUUGUGACUGAAAAUCUCUGAUAUACAUCAAAAACUAGUGUAAAAUGGAAAGGAAAAAAAGCUAUGACCUUCAGGCAACUACAAGAAAUGAGAGGCAAAAAACAAAUGCAAACAAGGUCCAAGCUGAAUACUUGAGUCAAGAAAGCUCCAAUGUUUAAUCUCUAUGAGAAGUUGGUGUAGAUUAUAUUUAAGACUGCAUUUACUGAUGUGACUGCAUUUCCUUAUAUAAAGUUUGGUUGUUGUGACUGCAUUUAAGACUAUGUUUUUUAUAAUUCACUGAUGUUGACAGCUGGGACUGCAUUUAAGACUAUUUUUUGGUAGUUCAUUGAUGUUGACAGCUGUGAUUGCUUUUUGUAAUUGUAAUUAGUUCACUGAUAUUGGUGGCAACUUUGACUGCAUUUUAUAACUGUAAUUAGUUUAACAGUACUGAUAUUUUUUUAAAUGUAUUUGGCAAUCAUAUGUAAUUGCCACUCAUUUUUGGUUA